CACGUAGGCGGACUGGAAAGUUGGAGGUGAAAUUCCAGGGCUCAACCUUGGAACUGCCUUCAAAACUAUCAGUCUGGAGUUCGAGAGAGGUGAGUGGAAUUCCGAGUGUAGAGGUGAAAUUCGUAGAUAUUCGGAGGAACACCAGUGGCGAAGGCGGCUCACUGGCUCGAUACUGACGCUGAGGUGCGAAAGCGUGGGGAGCAAACA
rnacentral:rRNA from 1 species